rnacentral:rRNA from 1 species
GACGAACGCUGGCGGCGUGCUUAACACAUGCAAGUCGAACGGAAAGGCCCUGCUUUUGUGGGGUGCUCGAGUGGCGAACGGGUGAGUAACACGUGAGUAACCUGCCCCUGACUUUGGGAUAACUUCAGGAAACUGGGGCUAAUACCGGCUAGGAGCUCCUGCCGCAUGGUGGGGGUGGGAAAGUUUCGGCGGUUGGGGAUGGACUCGCGGCUUAUCAGCUUGUUGGUGGGGUAGUGGCUUACCAAGGCUUUGACGGGUAGCAGGCCUGAGAGGGUGACCGGCCACAUUGGGACUGAGAUAAGGCCCAGACUCCAACGGGAGGCAGGGGUGGGGAAGAUUGCACAAGGGGCGGAAGCCUGAUGCAGCAACGCCGCGUGCGGGAUGACGGGCAUCGGGUUGUAAACCGCAUUCGCCUGUGACGAAGCGUGAGUGACGGUAAUGGGUAAAGAAGCACCGGCUAACUACGUG